rnacentral:rRNA from 1 species
GAUGAAACGCUGGCGGCGUACCUAACACAUGCAAGUCGAACGAAAGCGCCUGGCCCCGACUUCUUCGGAACGAGGAGCCUUGCGACUGAGUGGCGGACGGGUGAGUAAAACGCGUGGGGCAACCUGCCUUGCACUGGGGGAUAACAGCCAGAAAUGGCUGCUAAUACCGCAUAAGACCGAAGCGCCGCAUGGCGCGGCGGCCAAAAGCCCCCGGCGGUGCCAAGAUGGGCCCGCGUCUGAUUAGGUAGUUGGCGGGGUAACGGCCCACCAAGCCGACGAUCAGUAGCCGACCUGAGAGGGUGACCGGCCACAUUGGGACUGAGACACGGCCCAGACUCCUACGGGAGGCAGCAGUGGGGAAUAUUGCACAAUGGGGGAAAACCCUGAUGCAGCGAACGCCGCGUGAAAGGAUGAAGUAUUUCGGUAUGUAAACUUCUAUCAGCAGGGAAGAAGAUGACGGUACCUGACUAAGAAGCCCCGGCU